UUGUGCCACAGUCCUCACCCGUGCUAUAUUUUCCGAGGGCUGCAAAUCAGUUUGUAGCUGGGAUGAAUGCAAUGGAUCUACGUCGUGGAAUCACAAUGACUGUUGAUGCUGUUGUUACAAACCUGAAGAGCAGAGCCAGAAUGAUUAGCACAAUUGAAGAAAUUGCACAGGGUUUCCUUCUCCGUAAGAGUAGAGAGAAGCUCUAGAUUGCAGCUCAAAGUGCUUCCUUCUGUUAAUCUGAUUGCAUUGAAGUGUUUUUACAUGAGAUGUCUUUAGUUACUAUCCUGAUGAGAGACAUUGAUGGAUUAGAGAAAGCUUUGACUCCAACAAAGAAAUAGUCCCCGUCUACCGUUGGCAGGUUAAACUUUUCUUAUUGCAUUAUUUUUGCUUUGAAGAAGAUAUCAAUCUGGUACAUGAUUGUCAGCUUCGUUAUAAUUGGACCAACAUCAUUUGCUCCCAUUGUUGAAAUGGCUAUGACUAUUGUCGACCAAAGCGGUGGUCAGUGCCAUGUUUUAUUGAUAAUAGCUUAUGGGCAGGUAACUUUUUGUUUGGUCGAGUUCUCAUUUUUAGUAUAAUGAAGAACUAUUAUUCCGUAGAAAUAUUAUUUUAGCUUCAACUUUGAUCAUGAGUGCAUUACAUUGUGGCCAUAAGCUACUAUGCCAUAUGUUGGUUCUACCACUGUAGUGUAUGUAUGGUAGAAUACAAAAUUUUACUUUCAUCCACUUAUCAUGUUUCAGUUAUUGGCAAUUCUUAUUUUACAUUUUUUUUUUUUGGUUCUCAGAUUUUAUUCUUUUUUGGAUUCUCGGAUAGGAUUUUUUGUCCAUAGUCCUCAUAAUUUUGUAAUGAUGUAGAGUUCUUCAUUUUGGCAUUAAAUUGGGUAAUCAUGACAUUAAUUUCUUGUGUGAAAGAUAUAAAUCAUUGUAUUUAGAAACUGGAUCUAAUAUAUCAUGCCAUUUUUCAUUAUAAAGAAGCCUUGCUCCCUCCCCCUCUCUUUUAUGGUUUGAGAUAACUCAUGAACUUUUCCUU